UUGAGAAUAGGUGACAAGAGGUCAAAGGGUCAAGGGAGCAAACCAAUAGAAGUUUCAGUCAAAGUAGUAGUAUUUCUAUAGGUUAGUCAACUCAAACUGAGAUUGGGUCGACUAAGUCAUAAGUAAGUCGAUCCAGUCUCAGUCUGGGUCAACUAUGUCUCAGAGGAGGUUCCAGACAGAAAGCUGUAUUUUGAAAGUUUCAAGCCAGCAUGCUGGUGAAUUGACUCAUCUC
rnacentral:lncRNA from 1 species